rnacentral:rRNA from 1 species
CGGAGGGAAACCGAGUCUUAAUUGGGCGUUAAGUUGCAGGGUAUAGACCCGAAACCCGGUGAUCUAGCCAUGGGCAGGUUGAAGGUUGGGUAACACUAACUGGAGGACCGAACCGACUAAUGUUGAAAAAUUAGCGGAUGACCUGUGGCUGGGGGUGAAAGGCCAAUCAAACCGGGAGAUAGCUGGUUCUCCCCGAAAGCUAUUUAGGUAGCGCCUCGUGAAUUCAUCUCCGGGGGUAGAGCACUGUUUCGGCUAGGGGGCCAUCCCGGCUUACCAACCCGAUGCAAACUGCGAAUACCGGAGAAUGUUAUCACGGGAGACACACGGCGGGUGCUAACGUCCGUCGUGAAGAGGGAAACAACCCAGACCGCCAGCUAAGGUCCCAAAGUCAUGGUUAAGUGGGAAACGAUGUGGGAAGGCCCAGACAGCCAGGAUGUUGGCUUAGAAGCAGCCAUCAUUUAAAGAAAGCGUAAUAGCUCACUGGUCGAGUCGGCCUGCGCGGAAGAUGUAACGGGGCUAAACCAUGCACCGAAGCUGCGGCAGCGACACUCAGGUGUUGUUGGGUAGGGGAGCGUUCUGUAAGCCUGCGAAGGUGGCCUGUGAGGGUUGCUGGAGGUAUCAGAAGUGCGAAUGCUGACAUAAGUAACGAUAAAGCGGGUGAAAAGCCCGCUCGCCGGAAGACCAAGGGUUCCUGUCCAACGUUAAUCGGGGCAGGGUGAGUCGACCCCUAAGGCGAGGCCGAAAGGCGUAGUCGAUGGGAAACGGGUUAAUAUUCCCGUACUUGGUGUUACUGCGAAGGGGGGACGGAGAAGGCUAUGUUGGCCGGGCGACGGUU